rnacentral:rRNA from 1 species
UACGUAGGGGGCGAGCGUUGUCCGGAUUUAUUGGGCGUAAAAGGCUUGUAGGUGGCCACGCCAAGUCGGAUGUGAAAUCUCCCGGCUCAACUGGGAGGGGUCAUUCGAUACUGGUGGGCUCGAGGCCGGUAGGGGGAAGUGGAAUUCCCGGUGUAGUGGUGGAAUGCGUAGAUAUCGGGAGGAACACCAGUGGCGAAGGCGGCUUCCUGGACCGGUUCUGACACUGAGGAGCGAAAGCGUGGGGAGCGAUCCGG